AAUGAACGUUGGCGGCGUGGAUUAGGCAUGCAAGUCGAGCGAGAAGUUUAUGUUGAAGCCUCGGUGGAUUCAAUAAGCGGAAAGCGGCAAACGGCGUAGUAAUGCGUAGGUACGUACCCUCAGGUUGGGAAUAGCCACGGGAAACUGUGGGUAAUGCCCAAUAAUCUCCGCGGAGCAAAGGUGUGAUUCCGCCUGAGGAGCGGCUUACGUGAUAUUAGCUUGUUGGUGGGGUAAUGGCCUACCAAGGCGACGAUGUCUAGGGGGUGUGAGAGCAUGGCCCCACGACCGGAACUGAGACACUGUCCGGACACCUACGGGUGGCUGCAGUCGAGAAUCUUCCGCAAUGGACGAAAGUCUGACGGAGCGACGCCGCGUGCGGGAUGAAGGCCCUUGGGUUGUAAACCGCUGCCAGAGGGGAUGAAAUCAUGGUUGGCUAUCCUUCCAUGUUGACAGAGCCUCAGAGGAAGCACGGGCUAAGUACGUG
rnacentral:rRNA from 1 species